rnacentral:lncRNA from 1 species
UGUAAAUACUAAAAUAUUAUACGCGUACGUUUCGUUCUAAACGUCGCGCACCCACUUGUCGCAUCACCCAGCCGUCAACAGUUGGUUUCGUUCGGGUACCUGUACCGGUCACAUAAUCCUAAAUAAUAAAACUCCGAGUACGGACGUGAAAAAGUGGCGAUUUUUUUUUGUUCAAUAACGAUUCAAUUGGUGUUUUACCUAAAAUAAUAAUAUACCAGACGUUUCACUAAAAAAUAUAAUCGCCACACGAUGGCCAAAAUCAGCUCACAGACCGCUCUGGCCAAAUCUGCGGCCAAGCUCGAGAAACAUAUCAAUCUGUUGAAGUACACAAUAUUUUGCGUGAGCGCCGUGAUCUGGGUGAGUAAUGAAUAAUGAUAAUGAUAUCCGAGCAGUAAUAAUAAUUCACGAUAAUACAAUUUGGUGUUCCGAUUCGUGAAUUUUUCAUUUUUUUUUUUUUUGUUUUUUCUGUAUAUUAUUAGUAAUAUAAGAUUAGUUAUAUAAUUACAUACUAAAGUAUAAAUUUAAUGGAGAUAUAAUUUUAUAACUUUAGGCUUUUUUGAGGAAUUUUCCUCGUAUAUAGAGACUGUUGUAGCACUGCAUUGUGUCUGUUAUUGUCAUAAGCAAAUAUAUGAUAUUUUCCGCAAUACUUUUGGACUUUUUUAGACUUUUAGCUACUCCCUCUUGGUCAAAUGAGUUCAAACUCAUACAUAAAAACAUAUAAUCAAACAUCGAACAUAUCAUUUUUUUUAAAACCGAAACGAGUGUGCUGGAGAAACUGAACUUUCGCUCUUUUGCUCGUGGGUAUUUUUUUAAUUAUUAUAAUAUAUUUUACUAUUAAAAUCACUGAAUUGCAUGCUAGUUAUGUGGGCAUUUAAUUUGUCACAGGCAACUCCGUAUAAGCCAGUAGUGUAGUGUACGAUGAUUGUCUUUUGAAGCCAUUACCUCAACUAAAAUUGGUGGGUUGUCGGAGGCGUAAUAUUGUAAAACUGCGGGUGUUUGAUUAUAAAAUUAACUAAUUUGUUUAUAAACAAUUAUGACAAUUAUGAGAUAGAUGAACGUGUUGAUGGUAAGUAUAGAGACAAUCUCUACAAACGUUCUACACCUGCCUGUAACGUACUUGUUCGGAAGGAUGUAAGGUUGAGUGAAAUAAAUUUAACUCACAAAGCUGAAUUAUACCCGAAAUUUCAACAAAGAACACUAGUCCAUUAAUACGCCAAAGUAUUUCAAGACCAAUAAAUAAAACGUGGACAAAUAUUACAAGUCCAAGUCCGUUAUGUAGAGAUGCUCGCAAACGAUCGCGGCGGACACUCGUGUGAUUUGACGUUAAUUCGGGUGUCGUUUUAUAAUAAUAUACUCGCGCCCUUUGCUGCGGUCCGGCCGUGUUUCGAAAUUGAUUGGACCAUGCGUCGGGACAUUGAUGCGCGUUCGCUGUCAAUAAUUAUCGCGUUCGGUAUCAAUACACACAACUAUAUAGGUUAAUAUACGAAAUAUGUCACCCUAGCCAGUUUUUAGGCGUAACAUUAUCGAACAUUGUUAUAGUAUACGUGCUGCUACGCGUUUUCGGGUGUAUCGCGAACUUAGGUUAGUUUGAUUCUCGCGCCCGUUAAAGAGACGACGACAGGGUAUCAGACGCUAUUGCUAAUGUAUGGUUAUAAUAUAUGCGUACAGUACCCCUGCAAUGACGUGUUUUCAAGUUAAUUUAUACUCUGGUUUAAUUUCGGGCUCGCGCGCAUUUUACGAUAAGCGUAUGUGCUACUGGUAUGUUAGUAUGUAUACAUAUUAUAGCUGGUAUCCUGGUAUGUGUACCGAGAAUACCCUAGCCAGUACAGUGUGUGUGUACGUAUAUUCCCUUUACGCAUUGCUCGUAUUGUUCCAUAAUUUGUUAAAAACAAAAAAUUUUUAAAUAAAUAGUAUUAUAUUGUUAUUAUUUUAUGCGAAAAAUAAAACCGCAAUCGACGGACCGUAUUAAUUAAAUGUUUACUACAUUAUUAAACAUACCUAAACUCGUCGUCUGUAUUAUUUCGAUGAUUUCGUGGGACGAUGACAACAAAUAAAAUUUUAUUUUUUCGAACGUUAUCAUUAUAAUCUAUAUACAGGACUAUAUGGCAAAGGUAAAAACUUCCAUUCUAUUGCUAUGUUUAAGGUUUUAUUUUAAUAAUAUUUACAUUACAUCACCUUGGCACUAUAAUUUAAAUAUUUCAAGUUGAAUUUUAAUGUUUGGAAAUUCAAAAUGAAAAUUAAAACAAAAAAAUCAGGGUAGCCAUUUUGCAAAUCCGAUUUUUAUAAACCUUUUGGUGUCGAAAACUUUUACUAAGGUUGAGUCAACUAUUUUUAAACAGUUUUUGAUGUUUUAUAAAUAAUUACAAUUUUUUGCAUUCUUAAAUUAAAAUAUUGUAUACUUUGGUAAUAUAUUUAUCAUAUUAAUUUAAGGCUGUGAGUCUGAUAAACACUUAUCAUUUAUCGUUAGUAAAAUUAGCGAGAAAUACAUUUUAAGUUUAACAAACUUUAAAAAUUGUUUAAAAAAAUGAAUGAAUUACCAUGAUUGUUAGUAAUAAACAUUAACAAUUUUGUUAAAACAUACAUUUAUAAUGGAGCCAUUUUGAAUUACAAAUAAAUUUAAAUAAAGAAUAUAUAUUUUUUUUUAGUAAUUAUUACAAAAAAAAAAAUAUACUAAAAAUUAGCAAUAAAAAAGAGUUAUUACGUUUUUUAAAUAGUAAUAACUUACAUCCUUAAUAUAAACUUUUAAGUUAACUGGACUUUUGAUGACGUGUGAUGCGAGUUUUGAUCGAGUAAACCGACUGAAGAUUUGCGAGUAAAAAAUAAAGCAUUUGGGCCUCGACGCGAAUAUUUAACGACUUUAAUAUUAGUUAUGAUAAAUUGUUGAACGUCGACACUUUUAAAUAUUUUGCUAACGGAAACCUUUAUUCAAUAAACGUAACUCCGGAGAGCAUCGGAAAUAUAAUAUUAUUAUAUAGUACAAUAAUAUAGUGAUUAAUGUUUAUUGUUUCCGCGCUAGGUAUAAGAACGCGACGCGGUAGAAAACAUAAGAUAAAUUGUUUUGGAAUUCCUUUUGCAGCGUUUACUAUUAAAAUGAAAACAAAAUAUAAAAAAAAACUUGAAUAUGUGUAGCUUUAUUCAUACGCCCACGGGGAUAAAGAAAAUUGUAAUUAAAUUAAUACAUUCUGAUUGCACUCGGUUAAAAACGUUUAAUGGUCGAACUGCACUCGAGUUGAAAAAGGUAAUUUUGACAAGCUCAAAAAACUAUUUUUAAUUAUAUGCAUGAAAAAGAAAAAAUUGAAUAAAUUAAAAAUAAUCGUUAAUCAACAACACUAAUGAAUGAUGUUAAAAGAGUUAAAACGACAAAAUAAAUAAAAUAUACAUACUUUGCAUGAUGGGUGGGCUACUGUUGUAGGUGAGAAGUUGAGAAGAUAGGAUAUAGAGACGAAUUUAUUUUAUAUUUUUAUGCAACGAUAAACCAUUGUUAACGAAAAACGAUUUAGAGCGUUGUCCGGUUACACAUAUUUUGAAAGGUCAUUAUGAUUUUCAUCAAAAUUUGGUAUUAAAUUCUUACAAAAAAAAAAAAAAUACUACAUAAAACUCUUUUUUUUUGACCACUGAGUACGACUUUUAAUGGUCCACCUGUUAAAUUAGUAUGCAUAUCUGUUUAGUCUGUUUAACAUUAUUAUCCACAGUGCAGGUACCUACCGAGUAAAACAUACGUAAAAAAAAUUAAAAUAUCUAUAAAUAACUCAAAAAUGGCACAAAUAUUUAGUAUAUUUUACCACGUUUAGAUGGGGCAAAUAUAACUUUUUGUUCAAAUUUCAAGUUUCUACGAAUAAUGUUAAUUGAAUUACAACAAAACUAUAAAAUAAAAAACAAUAAAAACAUUAUUUUCGUUAAUUUUCCAGUUUUUUUUCCAAUUAUUAUGAAAACCAUAUAAAAAAUUAAAAAAUUACCUUCAUAAACCACCAAGUAAAUACAGUUACCUUUCAGAAAAUGUGCUUCACGUGAUGCAAGAUUUCUUGUGAAAAUUUUGUUAGAGAAAAAGAAAUAUAAAAUAAACAUUAUCGUAAUACUAAUACAUUUCUCACUACACUCCGAAUUUAAACAUCAUUUUGAAACAAGUCAAUGAUUAAAUUAUAUACGCGGGAUGGAAAAUAAGUAUUUUUUUAAGUUAAAAAUCAAAUUUUUUUUUGUUGCGAACAUUUCUGUUUGAAAAAUUGUAUCUUUUUUAACUAGAGUGCAGGUCGACGUUUACAUUUUUUUUUCUAGUUCAAAUGCGAGUCGAAUAAAAUAUGUAAUAAAAUUUAACCUUAGUCGCAUCGAAUUUUCACCUUAAAAACGAAACAUUGACAAAAUUUUGAGGUUAAAUUUAUAGUGUUUCGGUUCAAUGUUCAGAUAUAUAUUGAAAAUGGAUACGGUAAUAUGAUUUCAAUGACAAUCGACCGAGUCAAUAACAGCUAGUAGCUAUACGAAGUGCCAGUCUGAUUUUUUUUUUUUUACCGUUCGUUUCCGGAGUAGGCGCAACCUGUAUAAUAUAUUAUAUAAAAGAAAAAUACGAGUCGAAAGUUUGUGUGGGUUCAUGUACAGUGUAUACAACGUGUAUCCGAAAAGUUAUUUUGGAGCCGUUCCAAUGUUUUUUUUUUUUUUUUUUUAAUACAACUUAUUUAAUUCGUUUUACUCGAUUUCGGGUUCGCCUCAAACAACACUUCUAUACGAUCGAUAAGACCGAUAUAAUAUAAUAUUAUACAGUACAUAGUAUAAGUAGACGCUUUUGAUUUCAACACGAAUUUCUGCGCGUUUUCGAUAAAAUAAUAUUUAUGACUCGUCCGAAAUAUUACACUUUGUCGUUAUCGGUGCAAUUUUCCAACGCGAAUAUUUUACUAUAGUAUUAUUGUUUAAUUUAUUUAUUUUUUUUUUUUUUUGUAAUGCACGUCAUAGCAACUUAAUAAAUUGUUUUUAAAAAUAUCAUGAUACUGUAAAUCUAUUAUUAUAUUAUAUCUGUAUAUGUCAUUAAAACGUGAGGCGAUAUCUGUGGACAGCUAUAACGGAUAAUCUACCGAACCGAUUUGCAUGUUUUUUUUUUCUUUUAGCGUAAGUCGUUUGAUGUGUAGAUUAAGUCUCGAAAAUUGAUUAGUUAAUGAAUUAUCGAAAACAUAAUUUGUCCGUUUAAUUACUUAAAGAUGUGCGUAGUCUGCCGUGUGCACUGUGCACAUACAUGACCCUCACUAUUUCUAAGUCUACAGCUGCAUUAUCAAGAGGAAGAACGAUGUGUAUUUUUCAUAUCGAAACUUAACCACUAAAGGGUAGCCGACUCGGAAUUUUCGGUAUUUUUGAAAUGAAAAUUGAAUUUUUUUUUUCUUUUUUAUUUAUGAGUUGACAACACGGAUGAAAAAAUAACAGCAUUGUUAUUAUUUAUAUUCGUCAUGGACAAUUUACCCUCUUGGAAUUACCCUUUUUAGUUUAUAUUUUCAAAACAUUUAAGCAUUUAAGAUUUAAGAAAUACUAUGUAACACAGCCAUCUAUAGUACAAAUCGCAACGGAUACGAAAACGAUUUCAUUCAUCUAUGAAAAGAAAGUAAAUAACGCUUAAAAAAUGCAAUAAAUGAUACGGUUCAAAUAUACUACUGCGAGUGUGUUUUUUUUCUAAACUGUACACAUCACACAUCGACGCGUUCGUUAGUAAUAAUUAGUUGUUGGGUAAUUACCUCGCGAAGGGAAAUUCUUCUACAACAGUAUUAUGCAGUAGUAAUCGUCACUACGACGUCAAGUUGAUGAUGAACAAAAAAAAAAAAAAAAAAAAAAAAAAAAAAAAUAAAAAAAAAAAAAUAAUAAUAAUAAUAAUAAUACUAAAAAAUACCCCUCGUUUUCGUUUUUUUUUAUUAAAACGCCUCUAGCGAAAUGCGCCUCGACGUAAUUCGACGGAAACGCGAUUUUUCGCGAAAUUAACAUUUAUUUUAUUAUUUCCUGUGCGUUGUAUAUAUUAUACUUAAUAGGGUUUUAAAAAUGCAUUCUCGUUGUUGAAAAAAAAAAAAACAAAUUACUCGACAACAUUAUUGCAUAUUCGUAUCGCCGCUGGAAACCCUCAUUUAGAACGUAGGUAGGUAUUAUUUUGUUAUUCGUAUACUUGUAGCAUUUCGACAAAGUCGUUGUGCCGAAUCGUUCUUUUGUGGUGAAUCCCCAUAGCUCGCGGCUAUUGCUUUUGGAAUAGGCUUUUUUUCCUUUUUUUUUUUUCUUUUUAAUACGCCAUCGUUAUACGCAUUUUUAGUACCGUGUAUCGUAUUAUAUCGGUAUAUAAUAAUACACCCGCGAGUACGUUUCGUUUUAUCGAUUUUCAUUUCGAUGAGCGUAUAUUAUAUUAUACGCGAGCCUGUCGACAUAACAACCGUAGAUAUUUAGGCGAACAUUUAGCGAGGAAAAUCUUAUUAUUUAUUUUCUCCGCGAUUGAACGCGGUCCGCGUGAAUCCAAAAGAGUCGUCACCAAUUCAGUAGAUCUUGUCUAGACGAUAAUAUAAGAAAUAAAAUUACGUCUAACUAGAUAAAACGCUACCAAUUAUUCAGUUUCGAUUCGUUCAUCCGUCAUGAGGCCGGUAAUAGGUAGUUGAUGCGUUUUUUUCCCAAUUCGGAUUCGUUAACACAAUGUAAUAAUAUUUCGUUUGUGGUAUUACGAGUAUACAGAUAAUAUUACCGAAAUCUAUGUAAAUAUUGUAGGGCGCUCGUGUAUAAAUUAUAUUAUAAUUUUAUUUUAUUCAAAUUUUACAGACACUGGCUAAAGGGUUAUUUUUUUUUUAGAUAAAUAAAUGUGUCGAUUCAUCUACGUGAUCGAGGAGAUUCCGCAAAGGGAUAUUUUCCUUUUGAUCACCGAAAGACCGAAUGCAAAUUUUUCGUCUCGCGAGAAUAUAAUAUAAACUAUACAGUCAAUAAAAUAUUACGUCAACUAUGCAACGAAAUAUUGUGAACUUAAUAUAAUUAAUACAAAAAAUAAAAAUGAUAACAAAC